GACGAACGCUGGCGGCGUGCUUAACACAUGCAAGUCGAACGGAAAGGCCCUGCUUUUGUGGGGUGCUCGAGUGGCGAACGGGUGAGUAACACGUGAGUAACCUGCCCUUGACUUUGGGAUAACUUCAGGAAACUGGGGCUAAUACCGGAUAGGAGCUCCUGCUGCAUGGUGGGGGUUGGAAAGUUUCGGCGGUUGGGGAUGGACUCGCGGCUUAUCAGCUUGUUGGUGGGGUAGUGGCUUACCAAGGCUUUGACGGGUAGCCGGCCUGAGAGGGUGACCGGCCACAUUGGGACUGAGAUACGGCCCAGACUCCUACGGGAGGCAGCAGUGGGGAAUAUUGCACAAUGGGCGGAAGCCUGAUGCAGCAACGCCGCGUGCGGGAUGACGGCCUUCGGGUUGUAAACCGCUUUCGCCUGCGACGAAGCGUAAGUGACGGUAAUGGGUAAAGAAGCACCGGCUAACUACGUG
rnacentral:rRNA from 1 species